rnacentral:rRNA from 1 species
UAAAUUUUUCCUGGCGGCCGUGCUUAAUAAUGCAAGUCGAGCGGACAGAUGGGGAGCUUGCUCCCUGAUGUUAGCGGCGGACGGGUGAGUAACACGUGGGUAACCUGCCUGUAAGACUGGGAUAACUCCGGGAAACCGGGGCUAAUACCGGAUGGUUGUUUGAACCGCAUGGUUCAGACAUAAAAGGUGGCUUCGGCUACCACUUACAGAUGGACCCGCGGCGCAUUAGCUAGUUGGUGAGGUAACGGCUCACCAAGGCAACGAUGCGUAGCCGACCUAAAAUGUGAUCUCCACACUGGAAAAAAACACGGCCCAGACUCCUACGGGAGG